rnacentral:piRNA from 1 species
UCAUCUUCCGCCCAGUGUGGAACUUUGGUC